rnacentral:rRNA from 1 species
GACGAACGCUGGCGGCGUGCCUAAUACAUGCAAGUCGAACGCUUCUUUCCUCCCGAGUGCUUGCACUCAAUUGGAAAGAGGAGUGGCGGACGGGUGAGUAACACGUGGGUAACCUACCCAUCAGAGGGGGAUAACACUUGGAAACAGGUGCUAAUACCGCAUAACAGUUUAUGUCGCAUGGCAUAAGAGUGAAAGGCGCUUUCGGGUGUCGCUGAUGGAUGGACCCGCGGUGCAUUAGCUAGUUGGUGAGGUAACGGCUCACCAAGGCCACGAUGCAUAGCCGACCUGAGAGGGUGAUCGGCCACACUGGGACUGAGACACGGCCCAGACUCCUACGGGAGGCAGCAGUAGGGAAUCUUCGGCAAAGGACGAAAGUCUGACCGAGCAACGCCGCGUGAGUGAAGAAGGUUUUCGGAUCGUAAAACUCUGUUGUUAGAGAAGAACAAGGACGUUAGUAACUGAACGUCCCCUGACGGUAUCUAACCAGAAAGCCACGGCUAACUACGUG